UGAAUACGAGAUGCUACGGCGUCGAAGCAGUCUAUGUCAUACUUCCAAGAAAAGCUUGCACUGUCAUAAACAAAUAAUGCCUGUACCAUAACCGACACAGGUGGGUAGGUAGAGUAUACUAAGGGGCGCGAGAUAACUCUCUCUAAGGAACUCGGCAAAAUGACUCCGUAACUUCGGGAGAAGGAGUGCCAUAUUUAUAAGGUUGCAAUAACAAGAUCCAAGCAACUGUUUACCAAAAACACAGGUCUCCGCUAAGUCGUAAGACGAUGUAUGGGGGCUGACGCCUGCCCAGUGCCAGAAGGUUAAAGAAGUUGGUUAGCAUCCGCGAAGCUGAUAACUGAAGCCCUGGUGAACGGCGGCCGUAACAAUAACGGUCCUAAGGUAGCGAAAUUCCUUGUCGGGUAAGUUCCGACCCGCACGAAAGGCGUAAUGAUUUGGAUACUGUCUCGGAGAGGGGCUCGGUGAAAUAGACUUGUCUGUGAAGAUGCGGACUACCUGCACCAGGACAGAAAGACCCUAUGAAGCUUUACUGUAACCUGAAAUUGAAAUUGGACUUUACUUGCGCAGUAUAGGUGGGAGGCGUUGAGAAUAUUCUUGCGGGAUUAUUGGAGCCAUCAGUGAGAUACCACUCUUGUAAUGUUAGAUUUCUAACUUUGUAUCAUUAUCUGGUCAAAGAACAGUUUCAGGCGGGCAGUUUGACUGGGGCGGUCGCCUCCUAAACGGUAACGGAGGCGCACAAAGGUUUCCUCUGAACGGGUAGAAAUCGUAUCUAGAGUGUAAAGGCAUAAGGAAGCUUGACUGUGAGACCUACAAGUCGAGCAGGGACGAAAGUCGGUCUUAGUGAUCUGACGGUGCUGAGUGGAAAGGCCGUCACUCAACGGAUAAAAGUUACUCUAAGGAUAACAGGCUAAUCUCCCCCAAGAGUUCACAUCGACGGGGAGGUUUGGCACCUCGAUGUCGGCUCAUCGCAUCCUGGGGCGGUAGUACGUCCCAAGGGUUGGGCUGUUCGCCCAUGAAAGCGGUACGCGAGCUGGGUUCAGAACGUCGUGAGACAGUUCGGUCCAUAUCCGGUGUAGGCGUUAGAAUAUUGAGAGGAGCCUUCUUUAGUACGAGAGGACCGAGAAGGACAUACCUCUGGUGUACCAGUUAUCGUGCCAACGGUAAACGCUGGGUAGCUAUGUGUGGAGUGGAUAACCGCUGAAAGCAUCUAAGUGGGAAGCCCACCUCAAGAUAAGUAUUCUCAC
rnacentral:rRNA from 1 species